CCGCGGUGAGAUUCACGCUCGUCGCUGACGCUGCACGUUGAUUAACGAAGUCAUGCUGUGCAUUUUACCUCCAUUUCGCAGACUGUUGACACACUGCAUGAUACACGAGUGCCCUUAGUCUCUGUUCCAAAUAAUCCGGUGUGAUGUAACGCAGCUAAUGACGAACACACGUGACCUUUCUGGGUUUGUGACGCAUUUUGAUACUUCAUGUUAGAGCCUUCGUGACAUUUGCUUCAUUAGACAUGAAGAUUUCAGUCCUGACUGAGUAAUUAAUGCAUUAGUCACAUUUCCACGUGUUAAAUGAUUUGCGAUACUUGAUGCAGAAUUCUGGCCCGCGGACAAACUGAGUUUUUUUUCUUCUUAUCCUUGAAUGCACUUGCAGAUUAGAGCGGCUGCAGAUCUUUUCCGAUUGCAUCUCACAGGGAUCCGCUGGAGCACAGAACAUUAUCUGUAAUUGGGGGUUUAGUGAUCAAAGCUCACAAAUGGAAAUCAUUUGAAAAAUGACGUUAUUUAAUGUGCAAUUGACGUUUUUGUGAUGUUUUUGUGUGUCUUUAACAUUUGCAAUCUAAAUGGGAUCUCAGCGUUCAGGAUUCUUCUGGUUGGUUUGCUUGAACGAAAUAGGACCACUUCGUUGACUUUUGUAUUUUUGGUGUGACUGGUCAUUGAGUCUAACUACAAAAAAAAUAGAGCUGAACUAUAGAUUCUUUACGGUCUGCUGAACAGACAAGAAGAGAAGUCUGAAAAUUUCGAGGGAAAAGCGAAAUAUCUGACUUGUUGAGACUUAACUUAAUGUAAGAUAGUGCGGUUCAUAUUGCUGGGAUACUAGGAAAUAGAUCAAUCAGAUUCAACUGAUUAACUCUUUUCCCUCUUUGAGAAUAAGAUGUGAUUAUGUACAUUGAAAUAAUAAUACAAAUAUAUGAUGAAAGGGGCAGUGUGUAACUGUUAGUGAGACACCAACAGCAAGAAGGAACAAAUAAGAGAAGAAGAUUUCAAAGAAAAAGUCAACAAUUAGGAUGUGAAAGCCCAAUUGUGGGAAAAUGAGGAUUAAACAAGAAAAAAGGAAAGGGGAACUAUAAAGGGAACAUGCUGAACCAUGUGAGAGAGAAAGAGAGAGCGAAAGAAAGAAGUAUGGUUGGCAAAAAGAAGUGAGCAGCUGAAGAAGUUUCUUAAUGACCUCAAGACUUGAAAAGUCUUUGCGAGCGAACAAGUGAACUAGAGAGGCAGAUGAAAGAAGAGGGGGAUGAAAAGAAUAAUAAAACAGAGCUGAAACGGGAGCGAAAGAAGGCGUCUGAGGAGAUGGUUGGAGAGGCUGAAAGACGAGAGCGAGCGAGGAGACACAUCGACGGCGAAGAGAAGAAAUGAGGAAGAUCUGUGAAGGAGAGGCCAGAGAUGAUGAAGACGGUAACCCCGACGACGAAAGCAAUUCCCCACAACAUGGUCUCAAAGACAUCCGGAGGAGAUCGAACCGACGCCGCCGCUGAUGAAGAAAGGGAAACAACAAGCAGAGGUGGAUGAAGGAUGAACAUCAAAGAGGAACGGGUCGAUAAUAUAUUAAUGCGACUGUAAUUACAAAUGAAAAAAACAUCUUGGUCUAUGAUGUUCACACGAGAAACUCCUCCUCCAAAGACACGUUUGGGAUUCUGUGCAUCCAUUAGAGAACACAACUCUCAAGUUAUUUUACAGAGAUGGAAAAUUCCCCGUUUCACCAGCAGUUUUUGGAAAAAAUUAAAGGAAGGAAAACUUCACACAUUUA